rnacentral:rRNA from 1 species
AAUACCCCAUAGACUAUGGAAGCUGGAAUGCUCUGUAGCCGAAAGGUUUACCGCCACAGGAUGAGUCUGCGGCCGAUUAGGUUGUUGUUGGGGUAACGGCCCAACAAGCCUGUAAUCGGUACGGGUUGUGGGAGCAAGAGCCCGGAGAUGGAUUCUGAGACACGAAUCCAGGCCCUACGGGGCGCAGCAGGCGCGAAAACUUUGCAAUGCGGGAAACCGUGACAAGGGAACUCCGAGUGCCCGUAAAUUCGGGCUGUCCAUCAGUUUAAAUAACUGGUGAAGAAAGGGCCGGGCAAGACCGGUGCCAGCCGCCGCGGUAAUACCGGCGGCUCGAGUGGUGGCCACUAUUACUGGGCUUAAAGCGUCCGUAGCUGGUCUGUUAAGUCUCUGGGGAAAUCUACCGGCUUAACCGGUAGGCGUCUCAGGGAUACUGGCAGACUAGGGACCGGGAGAGGUGAGGGGUACUCCAGUGGUAGGAGUGAAAUCCUGUAAUCCUUGGGGGACCACCUGUGGCGAAGGCGCCUCACCAGAACGGCUCCGACAGUGAGGGACGAAAGCUGGGGGAGCAAACCGGAUUAGAUACCCGGGUAGUCCCAGCUGUAAACGAUGCGCGUUAGGUGUAUCGGUGACCACGAGUCACCGAGGUGCCGAAGGGAAACCGUGAAACGUGCCGCCUGGGAAGUACGGUCGCAAGGCUGAAACUUAAAGGAAUUGGCGGGGGAGCACCACAACGGGUGGAGCCUGCGGUUUAAUCGGACUCAACGCCGGGAAACUCACCGGAUAAGACAGCUGUAUGAUUGCCGGGCUGAAGACUCUGCAUGACUAGCUGAGAGGAGGUGCAUGGCCGUCGUCAGUUCGUACUGUGAAGCAUCCUGUUAAGUC